rnacentral:misc_RNA from 1 species
GUAGGUGAACCUGCGGAAGGAUCAUUAACACGUAUCCACGUAAAAGCCCGAUUCUACAGAAUACUCGCAGCAGUGGUGGUUUCAACCUGGUAUUAGUGGGUUGGUGUCGCAGCAAUGCUUCAUCAGUUCAUUAGUAUCAAGUUGAGAUUGGUGUCGCAGCAAUGCUUCAUCAGUUAGCAAGUUGUGUUCUGGACCACCUACCAUAUCACAGGUGUUAAGAUCCGAAGUAUGAUAAGGAGUACGACAUAAA